UCCAUACUGCUUUCCAGAGUGGCUGCACCAGUUUGCAUUCCCAUGGCUCUUUCACUUUUAAGGUUGAUAUGGGUGUGUGUGAGGGGCAACUACAACUUGUGUGAGAGAACUCUGGGGAGUUUUGUUGUUGUUGCCGUGUGUGUGUGUGUGUGUGUGUGUGUGUGUGUGUGUCUAGUAUUUCCCAGAAGUGUGUUGAGAAACGAUUGUAUUUUCGACUCUGCACAGGUCAGCGUGGGAUGGAAGGGGAAGGCGUGUGUGUAUGCAGAGUGAGGGGGUAGGAUGCGCUUGGGUGGGACCAUGUGUGUAUGAGGACCUGUGUGUCAGGGAAGUGUCUGUGACACCAAUGUUUCUGGAGAUGACAGUGGAAGUGUGUUGGAAUCUUUCGUGUGGAAGAAUUUGGUAGAAGAUGGGCAGAAGAUGUGUUGAAGGAGUGUGGAUCGGGUGUGAGGGAGCAAAGGUAGGUGGGGAGGGGGAAGCCAGUGUGUCUUUGCAGAGGGUGGGGGCAAGCGGGCUCGUGCCUGUGGGAGAAAGUAUGCGUGGUGGGGGAAUGGGUGUGCAGGGCGGUCAAGGGGGGUGUGAGAAGACCUUCUGUGUGGAAGGCACGAGGAGGGGUGAUUUGUAUGUGCGUGGAAGGAGGAUGAGUAAGAAAUGAAGAAUAAGUGGGGGGAUGUGUUUAUCUGAAGGGUGUUGGGGAGCAGCCCCCCGGUAUGGAGAGGGACAGUCGGGGUGGAGGGUGGGUUAUCGUGCACAGUGUGGGAUGUCGGGGUGCGUGUGUGUCUGACUACGGAGGUGAAAGCGUGGGAAGUGAAAGUGGGUAUGGGAAGGGUAGGCUCCUUGUGGGUGACAAUUCGGGUAGGAAUGCUACUAAGGAGGCAUGGGUGGUCGUCUGCCCCCUCGGACUUGUCCUGGCCUCCGGGAUCAACAACCUAGACCGGCUUCACCGUGAAAUUCUUAUGGGACCAAAACAGAAGAGGGACAAUGAAAAACUGGGUGGCUGGUGACAUUCCUUUUAUCCUUUUGGGUGGUUUUUUUUUUUUUUUUUUUUUUUUUGACUUGACACUCAAGAAUCCCCACCCGGAUGAUGACUGAUGGGACAGUUGCUAGGUGGCGCCCCAGAGCUUGCUUCCACCCAGCAGGUCCCGCCUUUGCCCAGGGUCUGAACUGGUUUUUCCACUCUCGGGGUUUCUGCUCCUCAGAGAGCCCCUGAGCAAUUAUAUUCCCUUCGAUCCAUUCCAUCCUACGAAGGGCAGAAGGACAUAAUCCCCCUGCAGCACAAGAAGGACAUCGGAGGCUUAAAAGGAGGCAUCAAUUAGCACCGAGGGAGAGGACACCUCCCUUCCUCGCACCCACCAGUCCUGCCUUUCAGAAGAAUGGUACCCAGAGCCGCCGGGGUAGCUCAGUCCGUUAAGCCUCUGACUCUUCAUUUUGGCUCAGGUCAUGAUCUCACAGUUCAUGUGUUGGGAAAAUAAAUCAAGUUUUCCACCAUAAGAUGGUCGAUGGGACGAAAACAAGCUCUGGUCUCUAGCUUGGAGUCCCCUCUUCCGGGUUCUUCUUGCCCUGUUUGCCGUCUGUGUGAAAACCACCCCCCCCCCCCCCCGCAAUGAAUAUGGAGGCUGACAAUGAUAAAUUACCCUUCCCGCUUGCAUUCAGUGCUCAGAUCUUUGGAGACACGGUCUCCUCGGAGCCCGCCGGUGUUAAAGAAAUCUCCGAUCCACCAA